CGUGCGCUAUCGCCUAAUCCCGUACGUGCAGCAUCGUGCGUGGCACAACUCGAUACCACUGCACCGAGGGAGCCGGGGAACCACUACUUGGGGUGAAUCGGACUCGUCCCGCCCAUGGACGCGCCCGUAGGAGACCUUCCUGCUCCGAACCCGUCAGCUAACCCGGUAGGCGAGAAGGAAGGAAGGA
rnacentral:sRNA from 2 species